rnacentral:lncRNA from 1 species
CCUCCACCAACUCCACUCGUUUUCACAUUUUGUUUUCUUCCCCAAACCUCUCCUUUUCCUUCCUCUCUCAUUCAUUUCCCUAAGAUCCCACACCAUAUUCAAUUCGAUCUCCCAUGGCUGCUGCAAAGAUAAACCCACUUAUCCUGUCAGCUCUCUUUUUGUUCUCAAUAAUGCUCAGCUUUCCCGCAAUAACAAUUCAGAUAAUCCUGCGCAUACCCAUGUUAUCCUCCAC